UCUACGGGAGGCAGCAGUGGGGAAUCUUGCACAAUGGGCGGAAGCCUGAUGCAGCGACGCCGCGUGCGGGACGAAGGCCUUCGGGUCGUAAACCGCUUUCAGCAGGGACGAGGCGAAAGUGACGGUACCUGCAGAAGAAGCCCCGGCUAACUACGUGCCAGCAGCCGCGGUAAUA
rnacentral:rRNA from 1 species